UAUGUGAUCGUCUCUCGCAUAUCAAUAAGCGGAGGAAAAGAAAAUAACAAUGAUUUCCCUAGUAACGGCGAGUGAAGAGGAAAGAGCUCAAAGUUGGAAACUGUUUGGCUUAGCUAAACCGUAUUGUAAACUGUAGAAACAUUUUCCUGGCACGCCGGAUUAAUAAGUCCUUUGGAACAAGGCAUCAUGGAGGGUGAGAAUCCCGUCUUUGAUCCGAGUAGUUGUCUUUUGUGAUAUGUUUUCAAAGAGUCGGAUUGUUUGGGAAGGCAGUCCAAAAUGGGUGGUAAAUUUCAUCUAAAGCUAAAUAUUUGCGAGAGACCGAUAGCGAACAAGUACCGUGAGGGAAAGAUGAAAAGAACUUUGAAAAGAGAGUUAAACAGUACGUGAAAUUGUCAAAAGGGAAGCGUUUGACACCAGUGUUGUCUUUCUGAAAAUCAAUUAAAGAACUGUUUAUGCUAAGUUGUUUAGACUUUAUCAGCUAUCUGCUUAGUUUUGAGCUUUUCUUUAAUGCACUUUUCAGUUAACAAGUCAACAUCAAUUUCUUUUGCUGUAAAAAAGCUUGAGGAAGGUGGCUUGAGAUUCGUCUUAAGUGUUUAUAGCCUCUUGCCUAUGCAGUCGGAGAGAUUGAGGUCUGCAGCGUAGAUCCUUCGGGGCUAAUGCAUUUGUGCUAAGUUAUAACAUUUUAUAGACAACUUGUUGACUAUGAUUUGUCUUGUAGCUUACUCGCUUAUGUUAUUUUACCUACGCUUAGGAUGUUGACACACGCGCGUGCUCG
rnacentral:rRNA from 1 species